UCCUGACUGACCGAUAGUGAACCAGUACCGUGAGGGAAAGGCGAAAAGAACCCCGGCGAGGGGAGUGAAAAAGAACCUGAAACCGUGUACGUACAAGCAGUGGGAGCCCCACCACUAAGCCAGUGGUGAACUCCACAUCCGCAUCCUUUGCUGAGGAUACGGUUAACGGAGCGAAAGCGACGUUCAACCGCAAAACAAGCAGAGGGGGCUUAGUGGUGGGGUGACUGCGUACCUUUUGUAUAAUGGGUCAGCGACUUAUAUUCUGUAGCAAGGUUAACCGAAUAGGGGAGCCGGAGGGAAACCGAGUCUUAAUUGGGCGUUAAGUUGCAGGGUAUAGACCCGAAACCCGGUGAUCUAGCCAUGGGCAGGUUGAAGGUUGGGUAACACUAACUGGAGGACCGAACCGACUAAUGUUGAAAAAUUAGCGGAUGACCUGUGGCUGGGGGUGAAAGGCCAAUCAAACCGGGAGAUAGCUGGUUCUCCCCGAAAGCUAUUUAGGUAGCGCCUCGUGAAUUCAUCUCCGGGGGUAGAGCACUGUUUCGGCUAGGGGGCCAUCCCGGCUUACCAACCCGAUGCAAACUGCGAAUACCGGAGAAUGUUAUCACGGGAGACACACGGCGGGUGCUAACGUCCGUCGUGAAGAGGGAAACAACCCAGACCGCCAGCUAAGGUCCCAAAGUCAUGGUUAAGUGGGAAACGAUGUGGGAAGGCCCAGACAGCCAGGAUGUUGGCUUAGAAGCAGCCAUCAUUUAAAGAAAGCGUAAUAGCUCACUGGUCGAGUCGGCCUGCGCGGAAGAUGUAACGGGGCUAAACCAU
rnacentral:rRNA from 1 species